rnacentral:rRNA from 1 species
GACGAACGCUGGCGGCGUGCUUAACACAUGCAAGUCGAACGGUAAGGCCCUUCGGGGUACACGAGUGGCGAACGGGUGAGUAACACGUGAGUAACCUGCCCUUGACUCUGGGAUAACUGCGGGAAACUGUAGCUAAUACCGGAUACGACCCUCGGCGGCAUCGCCAGGGGGUGGAAAGAAUUUCGGUCAAGGAUGGACUCGCGGCCUAUCAGCUAGUUGGUGAGGUAACGGCUCACCAAGGCGACGACGGGUAGCCGGCCUGAGAGGGUGACCGGCCACACUGGGACUGAGACACGGCCCAGACUCCUACGGGAGGCAGCAGUGGGGAAUAUUGCACAAUGGGCGCAAGCCUGAUGCAGCAACGCCGCGUGAGGGAUGACGGCCUUCGGGUUGUAAACCUCUUUUAGUAGGGAAGAAGCGAAAGUGACGGUACCUGCAGAAAAAGCACCGGCUAACUACGUGCCAGCCGCCGCCGUAA